AGGGCUAUAGCCAAGCGGUAAGGCAACGGGUUUUGAUCCCGUCAUGCGCAGGUUCGAUCCCUGCUAGCCCUGCCA
rnacentral:tRNA from 1 species